rnacentral:rRNA from 1 species
UACGGAGGGUGCAAGCGUUGUUCGGAAUUACUGGGCGUAAAGCGCGCGUAGGCGGUUUUAUAAGUCAGAUGUGAAAGCCCUCGGCUCAACCGGGGACGUGCAUUUGAAACUGUGAGACUUGAGUAUUGGAGGGGGUGGUGGAAUUCCCGGUGUAGAGGUGAAAUUCGUAGAUAUCGGGAGGAAUACCAGUGGCGAAGGCGACCACCUGGCCAAAUACUGACGCUAAGGUGCGAAAGCGUGGGGAGCAAACAGG